AGAGUUUGAUCCUGGCUCAGGAUGAACGCUGGCGGCGUGCCUAAUACAUGCAAGUCGAGCGAACAGACGAGGAGCUUGCUCCUCUGACGUUAGCGGCGGACGGGUGAGCAACACGUGGAUAACCUACCUAUAAGACUGGGAUAACUUCGGGAAACCGGAGCUAAUACCGGAUAAUAUAUUGAACCGCAUGGUUCAACAGUGAAAGACGGUUUUGCUGUCACUUAUAGAUGGAUCCGCGCCGCAUUAGCUAGUUGGUAAGGUAACGGCUUACCAAGGCAACGAUGCGUAGCCGACCUGAGAGGGUGAUCGGCCACACUGGAACUGAGACACGGUCCAGACUCCUACGGGAGGCAGCAGUAGGGAAUCUUCCGCAAUGGGCGAAAGCCUGACGGAGCAACGCCGCGUGAGUGAUGAAGGUCUUCGGAUCGUAAAACUCUGUUAUUAGGGAAGAACAAAUGUGUAAGUAACUAUGCACGUCUUGACGGUACCUAAUCAGAAAGCCACGGCUAACUACGUGCCAGCAGCCGCGGUAAUACGUAGGUGGCAAGCGUUAUCCGGAAUUAUUGGGCGUAAAGCGCGCGUAGGCGGUUUUUUAAGUCUGAUGUGAAAGCCCACGGCUCAACCGUGGAGGGUCAUUGGAAACUGGAAAACUUGAGUGCAGAAGAGGAAAGUGGAGUUCCAUGUGUAGCGGUGAAAUGCGUAGA
rnacentral:rRNA from 1 species